UCAGGAUCAAUUAGCAUAAAGAAGGACAUUGAUACCGGGGAAGUUAUUCGAGGCCUGCUAUAGAAUCCCUGACAACUGGUUAUCCAGCAUCUAAUGAUGGUUCCUCCAGAAUUCAGCCUCUAUUAAACCAAACUACAUCAUCCCACAAGUCUCCUCUCACCUUCUGCUCCCCUGGACAUUGUUCCUAAUUCAGAAGGACAGGGCCAAAGUGUGAAAUCUCUGCUGACCUGAAUCAAGUAUGACCAAUCAAUCAGAAACUGAAGCUCAGAGUGGUUCCACAAGCUCACAUCAUCAGUAUCUCUAAAUCCAACUGCUUUUCGGUGAUGUGCUGGAGGGUCUUCAACCUUCUUUUUACAUGUGACCUUGUGAUCGUAUUCAACAACUGUCAUUGGCUCUCCAUUGCCUACUAAGU
rnacentral:lncRNA from 1 species